UACAUGGGGUGCAAACGUUGCUCGGAAUUAUUGGGCGUAAAGCGCACGUAGGCGGUCUGUCACGUCGGCUGUGAAAACCCGGGGCUCAACCCCGGGCCUGCAGUCGAUACGGGCAGACUAGAGUGCGGUAGGGGAGACUGGAAUUCCUGGUGUAGCGGUGAAAUGCGCAGAUAUCAGGAGGAACACCGGUGGCGAAGGCGGGUCUCUGGGCCGUAACUGACGCUGAGGAGCGAAAGCGUGGGGAGCGAACAGG
rnacentral:rRNA from 1 species